AGGGUCUUCUCAAUGGCUCACCUCAAUCCCCUCAUGCCAUCACCUUACCAUUACCACCAAUUAAUCCACUCACCCCCACCAAGAGGCAGGGCAAGCCCUGCAGAGCCCUCAGCGGUGGCCACCCUGGCACAUCUUUUACAAUGCGAAAGGAAAACGUACCUGAAUGAGCUUCAGGUGAAUCACUGCAUGAGCCCCUCAAGUGGAACUUAUUUUCCAGGAAUGCAUUUUACCUGGCUAGUUUUGAGGCACAUGACCUCCCAACACUUGAGGAAUCAUCUGCUAAUGGCACAGUCAGAGUCAUGCCCAUUCACCAUGUAAAGCCACUUGGAUUGCUCUGACCACGUGGCCGCAGGCCCACUCUAAAGAGGAAUGACUCUGUCAACCCUGACACGUUGGAUAACCUUGAGAAGUCAGUAAUUUCGUAUGACGUAGAACAAACCAGGCAAUAAACAUGAUGUAGCAGUGGCUGCCUGCACAUGAGCCAAUUUGCUUUAUAUUUCUGAUGGCACAAAUGGACAAUGGCAACCCAUCAACUCUGCAUUCAACAAAAAAUUUAGGGACCAUUUCAGGAAAUAAUAUAAUGCUGGUAGUUCUCUGAAAUCCUCUGUUGACACCUUUUGAAAAGAUCAAAGAAGAACCUGCAUUGGAACUUAGGAGUUGGGGGUCGUGGAGUCAUAGGUUUGGAAGAAAAUCCUUGAAAGAGCCAUUUAAAGAAAUUCUGUGGGGCCGGCCCCAUGGCCGAGUGGGUGGGUUCACGCGCUCUGCUUCGGUGGCCCAGGGUUUCACGGGUUUGGAUCCUGCGUGCAGACAUGGCACCACUCGUCAGCCAUGCUGAGGCGGCAUCCCACAUGGCACAACCAGCAGGACCUACAACUAGAAUAUACAGCUAUUACUGGAGGGGCUUUGGGAAGAAGAAGAUGAGGAAAAAUAAAAAGAAGAUUGGCAACAGAUGUUAGCUCAUGUGCCACGCUUUAAAAGAAAAAGGAAAUUCUG
rnacentral:lncRNA from 1 species